GUGGGUGUAGCUCAGUUGGUAGAGUACCAGAAUGUGGAUCUGGAUGUCGCGGGUUCGAGACCCGUCACCCACC
rnacentral:tRNA from 1 species